UUUAAUUUGAAGGUGAUUUAUAAAUCCCAAUCGGCGACAAAUUUUACAUACGCGGCGCGAGAGAUACCGGCGGUGGACUGCAGCCACAGUCGGCCGAAAUCGUUGGUAGGCUUUUGUGAGCGAAAGAGCCUACUCGAAUUCACAAACAGAGAUAGAGGGGUGGACUGGCACCGCAGACGACGACAAAGGGGAGAGACUGACAUUGUGGAUGAUGCUGACAUUACACCCGAGCAGCUGAGCAGGGGAGUGACUCGUGAUUGCCGAUUGGUGCGAGGGACUGGAUGGAUUGGUCGGACGGUGCGACGUCGGAUGAUCGGUCUGACGACAGAACAUGAGAGACUGAGAACUGAGAAAAGAACAAAGAGAGAAUAAUUGAAGACUGGUGUGCAGCGCAUGGUUAUAAUUUUGCCUCUUAGUUACUUAGGGUUUGGGGAAAAAAAAACGUAAAUUCUAAAUUAAAUUAUUGAAAUUUAGUAUAUAUAAUUUAAUAUAUUCAGGUCGAAAUGAUUUUCGGCGGGUUUAGGUCACCCAAAACUGAAAUCGACCUGAUAAUUUAUCGAUCCUGGAUUUUGAAGCCACCCCACAACGAAUUCUAGUGCCAAACCGACUGAAUCGACCGGUUCUAUUCGGUUCGAC